AGAUGCCCCCGAGACGAUCCAGCACAUAACAGCAGGGUGCAAGAUGCUAGCAGGCAAGGCGUACAUGGAACGCCAUAACCAGAACAGAAUACACCUUACUUCGGAAGGCCGUUUACGUUGAGUCGGGAGCCAUGGGGCAGUUUCCAGUUAAUCCUUUCAAAAUAAUGACUGAAACUAGGGAAAAAAGGCAUGAUGAACUGGAAUUUGUGUAUCAUUGGUUCAUUUAAUAGUGUGCAAUUCAUUUAUGAGGACUUUACAUAGCAAUGCAUUUGAAAUUUAAACUAUAAUCAAAAGAGCAGAAUUAAUAAUAAAUUGAAAACUAUUUUAAGGAACUUAUUUUCAUAACUAAUUUUCAGAGAUUGUUUUCAGGUGAACUAUAUUUAUAAUGACUAAAAAAAAAUUCAACAUCUCAAUUUUUCUCACAUCUCACUGUCAAGAAUUGAUUGGAUUUAAUAAAGCUUUCAAUGUGUUCAUACACUGUGUUUUUUUCCUGUGUGAUAUAAUAUUUUGUUUCAUUUCAUUGCUGUAUGACUGCAGUGGUAAACUUAGGCCACCUAUUAUAUGAAAUUUAAUCCACUAGUAAAAUGGUAGUAGAAUGCAUGUACUAGUAGAAUGCAUGGUGAAGUCUCAUUUUCUUCACUGGAAGGACACCCAUCAAAGAUACUUGCUCUCCAUCACAAGGUCACUUCAUAAGAUUUCUCAUUUGAAAGGAUACCACUGAGGGCACUUCAUGAGAUUUUUCCACUAGAAAGGCACCCACCUUAUUUGGUACUACAUCACAUUUUCUCUCAAUUCAAUUCAGUUCAAUUCAAUUCAUAAGAACAUAAGGAAUUUACAAACGAGAGGUCACUUGACUGAACAGCAUCCAGACUUGUAGGACUCUUAUAUACCUGGAUCAUGUCCCCCCCUUAAUCUCCUUUGCUCGAGGCUAAACAGAUUCAGCUCAGCUCUCCUCAUAAGACAUUCCUCUAAGACCAAGAAUCAUUCUUGUAGCCAUACGUUAAACCCUUUCCAAGGCAGCAAUGUCCUUUUUAAGGUAUGGUGACCAAACCUGCACACAAUAUUCUUGGUGGGGUCUUACCAAGGAAUUGUACUGUAUAAUCAUAGCAUCGCCUCCCUUGACUUAAACUCCACACACCUAGAGAUGUAACCCAACACCCUAUUGGCCUUUUUUAUUGCUUCCCCACCCUGGUGAGAGUGGGAUAUGGAAGCAUCAACAUGCACACCAAGGUCAAUCUCAUAAUCAGCUACCUUUAUUUCAGUGGAACCCAUGAAAUAUACUUUAUAUUAUAUACUGUACUUUAUAUUUCUGCUCCCUGCAUGGAUUACUUUACAUUUAUUUUUACAUUUAUCUUUGCAUGGAUAUACUUUACAUUUAAAUUUCAUCUGCCAGGUAUCAGCCGAGUCGCUAAUUAAAUCAAGAUCCCGUUGUAGCCUCUGUGCUACUAGUUUAGUAUCAUUAAUGUAAAUUAGGAACAAUAGUGGUCCUAGAAUUUAACCCUGCGGUUCCCCACUAUGAACACAGACCCAUUGUGACAUUGUGCCUUAAUAACUAUCCGCUGCUUCCUGUUUGUUAACCAGUUUUCAGUCCAAGCUGCUACAGUUCCUAAAAUACCUGAAGCUCUAAGCUUAAGCAAGAGCCGUUUGUGGGCAUUUGUGCAUCAAAGGCCUUCUGGAAAUCUAAGUAGAUCACAUUGUAGGCCUUUUUGUGAUCAAAAAAUAAAAUACUUGUAUGUAUUUAAACUUUUAUAAGCAUUUUUUAUUUUUAUAAACUUUUAUCAUUUUACUACAAUUACAAGUACUACAGCAUUCAAUAGACUGUACAUUGAAAUGAACUUUAUUGAAAACAUAAAGACUAAUAUACUAUGGAGCCAGUAAAGAAAGCACAACCAAAACUCAUACAGAGCGGAAGUCUCUAAUCAGUGUUCAUACCGUUGAUCGAGAAUUCACAAAGAAAAUGUGAAGUUCAGAAUCUGCACUGUGUUGUGAUGAACGAUGUCAGAUAAUUAAACCAUAGCAACAUGAUGGCAAAAUUACACAUUCUUCAAUAGCUUAUUUACAAACAUAUUUUGAAAAACCUAUUGCUAGGAUCUUUAUACUACUUGCUAAUAAUGCCCUUAAAUAUUUUGAAAGGCUACAUUAUAUGCAGGGAGUAUAGUAAUUCUGAAGUUAAUUAACAGAAUCACACAGUGUAGAUAAUGUAAAAUAAUCAAACUGACUUUCCACUCCAUUCUUUUCAGUGUCUUUACAUGGAAGUCUCUGACCCCACAGCAUCCUCAGUUGUUUCUUUCCUUCUGGACUCAUUGAGCAUCGCCAGGGCUACAAAUCAGCGGGCCACUGGUACCCAGCAGGGCAGGUGUACUGGCUUAAGAGCUCCUUCACUCUGUCUGCGUCCCCUCCCACGCCGCUGUGGGGAGAGAAUCAGAUGGUCAGCGUCCUCCAGAAGGGCAUCCAUAUCAUCCCCCACAAGAGGAGAGCUGAGCUGGUCAGCAUAGCUUCUGGCGAUGCCCCUUACAUCCUCCUCACUGAGGUGGGGAUAUUGCAAAUAAUAAUAAAUAAUAAAUAAUAGGUAACCGGUAGCAAUAAGUGGACCGGUAGCAUCGUCAAAAAAUGGCAAAGAAUACAAUGGACUUACAAGGAGAAGGGAGCAGAACAAGGAUUUAUGGAUUUUAAGCAAGUGCUUAUUAAGAUAAAGACCAGAAGGACAAAAAGGAACAAGUUAAAUAAUAGGAUGCCAGGUGAAAAGAAAUGGAGUAAAGCACUGUAUGAGAAAUAAGACCAAGGUCCAUUUAUUUGGUAACAAAUGAAUAGUAGAUGAAUAGUAGCUAUUCAGUGGAAAAGAGAGCUAAAGAAAUGUUCAAAGAUAAGGAAAGGAAAAGCAGUGAUAAGGAUUUUAUAGGGUUUUUUCUUGUAAGAGAAAAAAGAAAAACUGCAGAAUGUUGUGAGGAAUAAAGGAAAAAGUGAAUGUUUCAUUGUAGAUUCUGGAUAAACGGGUCAGCAUAAUGCUUUAGUGGGUGUAAUUGCUGCUUUAUGUGUCCAGGAAGCCCCCACUCUGUCUGUGUGUUGGUUUAAAAAAGAUAACAUGCAGCAAAGUUAACUGAUGUGUCUCAGUUUCCUAUAGUGUGUUCUUGCAUGUGUGUGUGUGUGUGUGUGUGUAAAUGUGUGAGCGGGUAUGCCUAUCCUUAUGGGGAUGCAAUGUCCCCAUAAUGUGAUAAAUAUCCAUUUUUUUCCCGUUAAGGGGACCGGUUUCCUGGCUUCCUUAAAAUAUGAAAUAAUAAUUCAUCAGUAAUAAUGAAAUAUUCAGAAGAAUACAUAUAAGGUAUACAAGACCAGAUAUAGAUUUUCGAAGAAUAAAAUUAUAACUGGGUCUUCCCUAGAGUAACGAGAGGACAGAGAGACAAAACGUUUUAAAUAGACAAACCAGAGCAACCACGCAGUGAACAAACCUAAAUCAAUCAGGGAGAGCUUUUUAUAGUCACACACCAUAUCUUCUGCAUAUGUAAGUAUUUUUAAUGCAGGAGAUAUACCCACCUCUCCAGGACAGGAAGUGCGGUUGUGUAGUGAACAAAAAUAGUUGUGAAGAGCAGCAAGUGGCCUAGAUUAAUGAGAUGAACCAUGGUGAAGUCCUGGAAGAGAAAGUAUCGUAGUGCUGAAAGGUUAUAACACCAAACAGGAAAACAUGGCGUACCUUUCAGUUCCAGUAAUUUUUGGGUUUGAUUAUAUUUCUCAGCUUCAUAGAAAUAUGGGCAGCAAGUUUUAAGGUUAGAUUCUACUCACCUUGGACAGCAGAGGAUAGUUGCAAAAGAGACUCCAGAAUAGUUUUGCAACCCCUUGCCUGAAGUCAGCCUUUAAAUAUCUUGUCUUUAUUGACCUCCUGAGACACUCAUCACUGAAUAAUGUCUGCAUCACCACAGCCCACCCCCUCCUCUGACAGAUGGGUUUACAGCCAGGCUUAUUUGAACUUCUCAUUAUGUCUAUUUGAUAAUGGUUUUUCUGACUGGUGUGUAUGUCUUUCUUGUGUACUUUCCUUCCAUGACCCAACCAAUGGACACUUCCUCAACAGGUAUUAAUUGCCACCGAUUGUACGCUUUAUUGUCAUUGUCAUGGUUUUAUUGUUGAGCAUGCCCACGUCAAAAGGAAUCAGUUUAAAAAUCAAUACAAAGGAACUGACAUGUAGACAUUUCCAUCCAUGAACAUUUGCAUCCAUGAAGAAAAAACAGAUGUAUAUGGAGCAUAGAGUAUUACAUUUUUAUGCGGUAAAUAAAAGCUUUACUUAAACCUAUCAUCUAUGUUGCAUUAUAAUGGUCGGAAUAAGAAUUAGCAGUACAGGAUCAUCCAUUGACAGUCAUAAUGAAUUAUGGUGUUAUAAUAUGAAUUAUGAUUAUAAUAUUUCAUCCAAUACUACACUGUAGAUACCUUUAUAAUGCCUUAAAAUGGUUGGUAUAAGAAGUAAGGAUCCUUUGUACGGCAUUAUGAAGGCAUCAAUAGUGUGUUAUAGAAGAGAGCUUCAUAAAGAAUUCAUAAUACAUAAUAAACAUUGCGGGGCGGCAUAGUGGUGCAGUGGUUAGCACUGUUGCCUCACACCUCUGGGUCCCAGGUUCGAGUCUCCACCUGGGUCACAUGUGUGCGGAGUUUGCAUGUUCUCCCCAUGUCGUCGUGGGGUUUCCUCUGGGUACUCCGGUUUCCCCCCACAGUCCAAAAACAUGCUGAGACUGAUUGGAGUUACUAAAUUGCCCGUAGGAGUGUAUGUGUGAGUGACUGGUGGGUAAGUGUCCUCUGCGAUGGGCUGGCCCCCCAUCCUGGGUUGUUCCCUGCCUCAUGCCCAUUGCUUCCGGGAUAGGCUCCGGACCCCCCGUGACCCAGUAGGAUAAGCGGUUUGGAAAAUGGAUGGAUGGAUGGAUGGAGUGUAUGUGUGAGUGACUGGUGGAUGAGUGUCCUCUGCGAUGGGCUGGCCCCCCAUCCUGGGUUGUUCCCUGCCUCAUGCCCAUUGUUUCCGGGAUAGGCUCCGGACCCCCCGUGACCCAGUAGGAUAAGCGGUUUGGAAAAUGGAAGGAUAAUAAACAUUGCUAUUAUGUAUUAUGUCUGUUUAUAGCCAUGUUUGCUGGAGUACUUUUCUAUGCUGUGGUGUUUUGGGGGAGCAGCACAGCAAAGAAGGACUCAUCCAGGCUGGAAAAACUGAUCAGGAAGGCUAGCUCUGUGGUCGGCACGAAGCUGGACACUAUGGUGACAGUGGCAGAGAAAAGGACACAAAAAAAAUUGCUGGACAUUAUGGACAAUGCUGGGCAUCCUCUGCACACGGCCAUAAACAACCAGAGAAGUCUGUUCAGUGACAGGUUGAUCCUCCCAAAGACAAGAACCAACAGACUUAAAAACUCCUUUGUCCCAUACGCCAUCAAGCUGUUUAACUCCUCUCUGGAGGGGAGAGGGAGGGGAAACAGGAGGACAAAGGAGGGGGGGACAACUAAGCUGUAGUGCCUCUUCACUGUGCAAUACUUUUGUGCACUACUUUUGGUUCAAUACUGGAAAUGUGCAAUUCCCUUGUAUUCUUCUUUAUUCUAUUUAUCCCUUUUGUAUAUUUUAUUUGUCUUUGUAUCUAUAUAUGUGUAUAUAUAUAACAUUUGCCCACGUUGUGUAACUUCUGUCGGUGCUGUGCUUUUGGAAACCGAAUUUCCCAGAGGAAUCUACCCGAGGGAUUAAUAAAGUUUUUAUCUAUCUA